rnacentral:rRNA from 1 species
UCGAGGAUCUUCGGCAAUGGGCGCAAGCCUGACCGAGCGACGCCGCGUGUGCGAUGAAGGCCUUCGGGUUGUAAAGCACUGUCGAGGGGGAGAAAAGGGCAACCUUGAUCGACCCCUGGAGGAAGCACGGGCUAAGUUCGUGCCAGCAGCCGCGGUAAGACGAACCGUGCGAACGUUAUUCGGAAUCACUGGGCUUAAAGGGCGCGUAGGCGGGCGGUCAAGUCAGAGGUGAAAUCCCACGGCUCAACCGUGGAAGUGCCCCUGAUACUGGCCGUCUCGAGGGAGGUAGGGGCGUGCGGAACUUCCGGUGGAGCGGUGAAAUGCGUAGAUAUCGGAAGGAACACCGGUGGCGAAAGCGGCGCGCUGGACCUCUACUGACGCUGAGGCGCGAAAGCCAGGGGAGCAAACGGGAUUAGAUACCCCCGUAGUCC